rnacentral:tRNA from 1 species
UGAGGUGUAGCUCAGCUGAAAGAACGUUUGCAUGGUAUGCAAAGUCCUGGGUUUGAUUCCCAGUACCUCAU